rnacentral:rRNA from 1 species
AAACUCAAAGGAAUUGACGGGGGCCCGCACAAGCGGCGGAGCAUGCGGAUUAAUUCGAUGCAACGCGAAGAACCUUACCAAGGCUUGACAUAUACGAGAACGCUCUAGAAAUAGAGAACUCUUUGGACACUCGUAUACAGGUGGUGCAUGGUUGUCGUCAGCUCGUGUCGUGAGAUGUUGGGUUAAGUCCCGCAACGAGCGCAACCCUCGUUCUAUGUUGCCAGCACGUUAUGGUGGGAACUCAUAGGAGACUGCCGGGGUCAACUCGGAGGAAGGUGGGGAUGACGUCAAAUCAUCAUGCCCCUUAUGUCUUGGGCUUCACGCAUGCUACAAUGGCCGGUACAAAGGGCUGCAAUACCGCAAGGUGGAGCGAAUCCCAAAAGCCGGUCUCAGUUCGGAUUGAGGUCUGCAACUCGACCUCAUGAAGUCGGAGUCGCUAGUAAUCGGAUCAGCAACGCUGCGGUGAAUACGUUCCCGGGCCUGUACACACCGCCCGUCAACGUCAUG